rnacentral:rRNA from 1 species
UACGAAGGGUGCAAGCGUUACUCGGAAUUACUGGGCGUAAAGCGUGCGUAGGUGGUGAGUUAAGUCUGUCGUGAAAGCCCCGGGCUCAGCCUGGGAAUGGCGAUGGAUACUGGCUCGCUAGAGUGCGGUAGAGGAGAGUGGAAUUCCCGGUGUAGCAGUGAAAUGCGUAGAGAUCGGGAGGAACAUCAGUUGCGAAGGCGGCUCUCUGGACCAGCACUGACACUGAGGCACGAAAGCGUGGGGAGCAAACAGG